UACGUAGGCAGCGAGCGUUGUUCGGAGUUACUGGGCGUAAAGCGUGCGUAGGCGGUUUUGUAAGUUUGGUGUGAAAUCUCCCGGCUCAACUGGGAGGGUGCGCCGAAAACUGCAAGGCUGGAGUGUGGGAGAGGUAGGCGGAAUUCCUGGUGUAGCGGUGAAAUGCGUAGAUAUCGUCAAGAACACCGAUAGCGAAGGCAGCUUACCAAGCUGUAACUGACACUGAGGCACGAAAGUGUGGGGAUCAAACAGG
rnacentral:rRNA from 1 species